GGGUACUUCAAGCUGGUAGUAGCCCCUCUUGUUCCCAUACCUAAGAUGAUUACGCUCCAGCAUUUCAGCUCACUUGUAACUCUUUAUGGCUGCAGGAUUUACUUUGAUUUUUCAGCUAACUACUGACUUCCUUCCCCUCCAUGCGUAAUUUUCUACCAUUGGUUUCAAAGUCAAAUUGCCUCAGUUCAGUUACUUGCCAUACCAUCUUUUAUUUUCUAGUAAAGAAACACUGCGUAUUUAAUUAUUUGCGGCUCGUCAGAAACGUGAGAAGAAUGCUACUUUCUCGGACUUAAGGAAGGAGGAGUUGUGGCUAUAGAAUGAUGGCUCAGAGAUGCUUGUUGACUAUCAAAAUGACCCUGUACUAGACAGUGGCACUUCUGUGGAAGAGUGGUAGGAAGAAGCUGGAUAGUUUUACUCUGCCUCUUAAGUGACUAUUUGUCCAGCCAACAAAGGUAGUUGCUUGUGCUAUCACCAUAUUAAGUUGAAAUGACCAAACUACAAUGAUCUGUUGAAUUUUGUAUACUUUUAUAUUUAUACCCUGGUAUAUCGUUAUCACUCUACCUCAAUCCCUCCCAAAUAUCAUGAUUUUCAUUAAUUUUUCUUUUCUUGUAGGAAAAUCCAGAAGAUGCAGAAUUGUCAGCAGUGAAUUUACUUAUUUGUUUAGUUGCCAGGUAUUUUGAACAGAGCGAUCUUGCAGAUAAUGAUUAACAUGACUGCAGUCUGGAAUAAGAAUUCUACUAUAAUUUUCAACUUGCUUAUUUCAUUAUCCUUUUUUAAAAUGUGGAUCUUUCUAUUUUGAUGGACAAACAAUGUCUGAAAUUUGAGGAUAUUAAACAAACUGCAGUGACAUUUAAAACUGAAGAUAAAGUGCACAGAUGAAAAACAGUGCCAAAUAACUGUUUUGAAUAAAUAGUCUGACUAGUUUUGGAAUGGUUUGUUAUUGAUUUGAUUUAAUUAUCAAUCUACUUUUUGCAAAAAAAAAACCCUGUAUACCAAGUUAUUUACUGAAACAAUGAAGCCACGAAAUUCCAAAGUUUAAACAAAACUUUUUAACCAUGUAAGAGUCAAGAAUGGUUAGAAAUAUCUUAAGCUCACUGCUUAUGUGGAUUCUAGCUAACUGGUUCUGAAAGAUUAAUCCUGAUAAUUGGUCAGAAUACCAUUGCUUGUGAGAUGUCAGUUGUAAAAUAAGCUGUGAGGCAGCAGUGCUAACCUAAAUCAGCACUAGGGAGUUGUGUUCAAUUCCAGCCUCGGGUGACUGUGCAAACUCCACACCGACAUUCUCCCCCUGUCUACAUGGGUUUCCUCUGGGUGCUCUGGUUUCCUCCCACAGAUGUGCAGGUUAAUUGGAGGAGGCAUGCUAAAUUUCCCAUAGCAUCCAGGGGUGUGCAGGCUAGGCUGGUUAGCAGGGUUACAGGGAUAGGAUAGGGGAAUGGAUCUGGGUGGGAUGCUUUUCUGAAGGUUAGUGUGGACUUGAUGGGCUGAAUGGCCUGCUUCCCCACUAGGGAUUCUGUAAUUCUAGAUAACAAUGGAGUUUUGGCCAACUAUCUGAAAUUCUACAGAAGAUUGUGCCUAGAGGAUGAAAAAAAAAACAUGCAAUGGACCAGUCUUUUUUUUUCAAAUUCUACAGUAGUCUUCAUUCAUGUAUUUGUAUUAUGGCAUGAUCCUUCCUUAGACUGGAUAGCUAAUUAAAAAGUCUACAUAAGGUGUCAAUUUUUUUUCCUCAAAUUCCCCAUAUCCACACUUACAUCAGAAACUAAUCUACCUAUGUAAAUUUCAUUAACUGCAUCCUUUGAUCAGUGGAUGUUGCAGUUACCACAAGCAGGAGAAUACAACCAUUGUGACAAGGCUGGAUUACAAAUAUGGACAAGAGAAUUUAUAAUAAAACAAAAAUACAUUUAAAAUGGGAAACAAGUUGCUUACAGCUUUAAUCUAAUUGCUAUUCAAGCCUGUUACUGUUAUAUUUAGCUCUGAUGUGCAAUGCCAUAUUAAAAAUAGUACUUGUCAAA